UACCAGCACCCCGAGUGGUCGGGACGUUUAUUGGGCCUAAAGCAUCCGUAGCCGGUUCUACAAGUCUUCCGUUAAAUCCACCUGCUUAACAGAUGGGCUGCGGAAGAUACUAUAGAACUAGGAGGCGGGAGAGGCAAGCGGUACUCGAUGGGUAGGGGUAAAAUCCGUUGAUCCAUUGAAGACCACCAGUGGCGAAGGCGGCUUGCCAGAACGCGCUCGACGGUGAGGGAUGAAAGCUGGGGGAGCAAACCGG
rnacentral:rRNA from 1 species